rnacentral:rRNA from 1 species
AGUGAACGCUGGCGGCGUGCCUAAUACAUGCAAGUCGAACGGAGUGGCGCACGGGGGUGUAAUGUAUAGCUAAUCUGCCCUACACUAGAGGACAACAGAUGGAAACACCUGCUAAUACUCUAUAGUGUAGGGUGAGGCGAUAUUGUAUCAGCUAGUUGGUGAGGUAAUGGCUCACUAAGGCGAUGACGAGUAACUGGUCUGAGAGGAUGAUCAGUCACAUCGUAAGUGAGACACGGUCCAGGCUCCUACGGGAAGGAGCAGAAGGGAAAAAUGCCCAAUGGGGGAAACCCUGAAGCAGCUACGCAGCGUGGAGGACGACACUUUUCGGAGCGUAAACUCCUGUUGUUCGGGAAGCGGUACCUAACGAAUAAGCACCGGCUAACUCCGUGCCAGCAGCCGCGGUAAUUC